AUAAAAAGGCAGUACAACAAAAAACAAGCCUGAUUAUUAAUGCAACAUGAAGUAUAGUUCUAUGUUAGGCUGAGGAUUCUAUGAGAAGAAAGCAUUUAUCCAUAAACGGGGAUUGUACCACUCAAGCACAUUUUUUUUGCAUUUUCAUAGGAGCAUUUGAAAAGUGUAAGGGACUUUUUAUAGAUUACAACAAAUUUUUAAAGGAUUACAACAAAUUCUGUUAAACAGGUGACUACCUCCAUGAUCUUUAGUCAUGGUUCAGAUCAGCAAGCAGCCACUGGGUCUUUCUUUUAUUUUUUAUUUUUUUCAAACCACUGACUCUUUGUAUGGCAAAGUUCUACAACAGCUGUUCUUGACUGGUCUUCAGCAUUCUCUUGUGUGCCCAUCCUUUUUGAUGUGACUCAACUUUGCGAGCUCCCUUAUCCCGCAAGUAAUGGAUCCUAGUGGACACUUUGGGGGGGGGGGGAAACGUUGAAGCUUACCAAUUUUUAAAUUUUUAGUUUGUGCGCUCCCUCCUUGGUUUUACCUACCAAGACUGCUGGGACUUGAGGAUUUUUAUUUUUUCUU